AAUCUGGUGAGCCAAAUCUAUAACAAAAUUUUGGACGCAACCGCGCAGUGGGAUGAAGAAAAACGAUAAAAUAUUCACACACAAAUUCCCAAAGGCAACCAACGCCAACCCCACGUUAAAGAACCCUUCCAUAUUUAUCUCCUGCAACAAUCAAUUAUUCACUCAGACUCUCAGUGGCGCACAGCCCCUUCUCAUUAUCUUGAGAUUUGUUCGAUUUCGUUUCGGGCGGUGUUCUAUUCUGCACCAAUGGUUGGAUAUUUGGAAUGAUUAUUCAAUUUGGGAAAUACGAGAGUGGGGCAUUUAGUUUAAAUCUGGGGCGUGUUUCCCCAAUCUGGGAACCCUAAAUCGGCAUCGGGACAGAUAACCGGUGGGAUUUGGAUCUGGAGAGCCCUGAUUUGAUGUCAAUGGGCUCUUUGGAUGAAGGUCAUUACGAUGAGGAACUCAGGAAUAAUGGCGUGAGUGGGGCAGAGACUCGGGAGAUUGAGGAAGCUGUCAGAGUGCUGUUGGAGGGUUUGGGUGAAGACUGCAACCGUGAAGGUUUAAGGAAGACUCCUCUGCGAGUGGCCAAGGCGCUGAGGGAAGGCACACGAGGCUACAAGCAGAAGGUGAAGGACAUUAUAGCUAGCGCUCUAUUUCCUGAAGCCGGUUUGGAAAGCUCAAACGGUCAUAAUGAUGGUGUCGGCGGGCUUGUUGUAGUUCGAGAUCUUGAUCUCUUCUCAUACUGUGAGUCUUGCUUGCUUCCGUUCCAGGUGAAGUGUCACAUUGGCUAUGUCCCGUCUUGUCAAAGAGUUCUUGGCCUUAGCAAGCUUUCUCGGGUAGCCGAUGUAUUUGCCAAACGUCUUCAAGAACCACAACGACUGGCAAACGAGAUCUGUGCAUCUUUGCAACAAGCCAUCAAACCAGCUGGAGUUGCCAUCGUCUUACAAUGCUCCCACAUUCAUUUCCCUAAUUCCGAGUCUGCGCUCCUCGACCCUAACCACAACGGUCUGGUCAAGAUGAAUGUGAAAUCUGGCUCAGGAGUUUUCGACGACGACAAGAAAUCAAGUGUCUGGACCGAUUUCCUCAAUCUCCUGAGAUUUCGAGCUGCAGAUGCCUUGGACAAGAAACAUUGGUGCCCGUCUCGGGAAUUCUCCAGGAUGGACCUCAUGGACACGGCAAUGCUCGGCGCGGUCACUUCGAUUCUAUUCUCUCUCGGUGAGGAACCUUUGAGAAAAGAGCUUGUAGAGACUCCGGCACGGUUCGUAAAGUGGUUGAUGAACUUUAAGAACUCGAACUUGGACUUGAAGCUCAAUGGGUUCGUCCGGGAUUCUCUAUCCUCCUCCAACAAGGAUUUCGGGUCGAACCCACAUCUUUGCUCCGAGCUGAGCUUAUCCUUCUGGUCCCAAUGUGAGCACCAUUUGCUCCCUUUCCAUGGAGUAGUCCACAUCGGUUACUAUGGCCACAACGGCUCCACCCCAGCCGGGAAAUCGAUCCUACAGUCUAUAGUGCAUUAUUAUGGUUUCAAGCUACAAAUGCAAGAAAGGCUGACGAGACAGAUUGCGGAGACUGUCUCGUCGUUCUUGGGCAACGAUGUGAUGGUGGUUGUUGAAGCAAGCCACACUUGCAUGAUCUCUCGUGGGAUCGAGAAGUUUGGAAGUAGCACGGCCACCAUCGCAGUGUUGGGUCGAUUUUCUUCUGAUCCGACGGAUAGAGCUAAGUUCUUGCAAAUUAUCCCCAACUCGAAAUUCGACUAUUGAUGGGAACAAGAACUGAUUUUUCCAAGAGCUCUGGGAUUGAAACCUGUCUCUGUAACUGGUAAAGCAAAGAUGGUGGGUGGUAGGUAAGGCAACAUCAACCUACACGGUAGAUGAGGAAUAAAACCAUGGUAACGUUGAUUUGAUAAAAUCAACAUAUUAUUUUAAGAUAAUUAGUAUUUCAUCAUAAAAUAAACAUGGUAGACACAGUAUGAAUUAUAUAUAUUGUACUGUGCAGUUUAUUAUACUGAAAUUACAAAUUUACAAUAUAUUAUAUUACAUAAAAUUAUAUAAUAUAAUAUCAAUAUAUACUAAAUGUGUAUUAACAUAUGCUUCUUUAUAAAAUAUAUGUUAAAUUUAUCGAUAAACACAACCACCAAAAAACGGUAACUAUAUAUAUAUAGGUAAAAUAGUAAUUUUAUACUAAAAGGCUAUUUAAACAGUCAUUGCAUCAUAUGUACGGUACUUUUACGUUUGUUAUAAGAUAAAAAUAGCAACAAAAAAAAAAAGAAAACAUUGAU